rnacentral:lncRNA from 1 species
GUCCUACCAGUUUUAUUGCCUAAAUGUAUUUUUUGCCUUCAUUUGAUGCACCCAAAUUAAGCUACACAAACAUAAUAUAUUCAGCUCUUCUAAAAAAGAAAAAGAAAAUGAUAUAUGUAGCUACAACUGAAAAAUGAUAAACCUAUACAAAGUACUUGCACACUCUAUGUCUCUAUAGAAAAACAAGAUCACAUCUGUAUGAUAGCAUAAUUCAGCUAUGAUGGC